UAACACGUAAGGGCGAGCGUUGUUCGGAAUUAUUGGCGUAAAGGCACGCAGCGGUUAUGCAAGUCUGAUGUGAAAUCUCCGGGCUUAACUCGGAAUCCGCGUUGGAAACUGCAUGACUAGAGUAUUAGAGGGGAGUCGGAAUUCCUAGUGUAGGGGUGAAAUCUGUUGAUAUUAGGAAGAACACCGGUGGCGAAGGCGGACUCCUGGCUGAAUACUGACGCUGAGGUGCGAAAGCAUAGGGAGCAAACAGGAUUAGAUACCCUGGUAGUCUAUGCUGUAAACGAUGUGCACUUGGUGUUGGGCCGAUUAGGUUCAGUGCCGUAGCUAACGCGAUAAGUGCACCGCCUGGGGAGUAUGCCCGCAAGGGUGAAACUCAAAGGAAUUGACGGGGGCCCGCACAAGCGGUGGAUUAUGUGGUUUAAUUCGAUGAUACGCGAGAAACCUUACCAGGGUUUGACAUGCACAGGAAUAAGCUAGAGAUAGUUUAGCCCGCAAGGGU
rnacentral:rRNA from 1 species